rnacentral:lncRNA from 1 species
GAAAAGAAAAGAAAAGAAAAAGAGAAUAAGAAAGUCUGCUUCUUCUUCUUAGUUCUGCCAUAGGCAACACAUGAGAUCAAGUUGUUAUUGUUGGGAGAAGUUCUGGAGGUAAGUUUUAAUUUUGGUUUUCAUUAAAUUAUUGUGGAGAAGCAUGAUUGCAAUAGAAGUAGAAACCUAUGAUUUUACAGAAAUAUGCUGACAGUGAAUUAUUACGAAAAUCAUAGUACUUUGUAUAAAUUGAUUUUGAUUCUGAUUUUUGGAUAUGUUAAACUAGACAUCGUCUAGAACGUUUUGAAACUUGUUUCAAGUUAAUCGGAUAAGAUUUCAAUUACUUAUGAUUUUUCAAAUUCAAGUCUGAAAACCUGGAAAUUUAUGAUUUCAGUGAAUAACGUGAAUUACAAAAUUAUUUUUACCAUAGUUAGACUUCUUCAAAAAUUAUGAAAUUUGGACCAAUGAUUUUUAUAUAUGUCUAGUAUGAUUCUGGAAAUUUUCAUGAUUUUAUGAUAAAGAAAUAAAUUGUUUUGUAUUUUUAAAGCAAGUGUGUUCAAAACAGAAAACUGUUUGACAAUAUUGAUGAUGUCUGAAACGUGAAUUAUUUUCAAUCGUUUUGGAAGGAAUUAUGUUAUGAAAUUUUUAUCAAUGAACUUUCAACGUGUCAGCAUAUGGUUUGUAAAAUUUGAGAUUCUUCCAAUAAGAGAAUAAUUUAUUAAAAAUCGGAGAAGUAUGGACUGUUAUGUUUUGAGGGCCGAUUAUUGAGGACAUUUGAGGUUAUGAUUGAGAUUUGAUUAUAUCUUAUGAGGCGUUAUUGAUGAUUUUAGGUUGAUGGUAUCAGUACGCAUUUGUUACAUGAGGAUGCCAAGAGGUAGGUAAACUAGACUUUAAAACGAAUCACACUAAACAAUAUAUAUGUUUGACUUGUGUGAAAAGCCUAUUUUGAUAUAUAUAUGGAUAUGGAUUUAGAUGUCUCUGCCCAUGUGUUUAUGUGAUGUGUUGGCAUGUGUUGGGCGUGAUUAUGUACAUGGGCAUAUGUAAGUGUGAUGGUUCAUUGGCAUGAGCACGAAAAUGCAUUGAGUUUUCUAUGAAUGAGAAAGUGGAUUUUAGCAAACGGAAUUUCUAUUUUAUGAGAUUUUGCAUUGGGGGCCACCUCUUGAAGUUGUGUGGGGGCCACCUCUUGGGACUAUGCGGGGGCCACCUCUUGAGGGCCAGAGCGCCGUAAAGUGCCACGCAUGGUGCAAAGUGCCACGCACAGCACAAAGUGCCACAAUUACAGAAUAUGUAUUUCAUCGAAAGAAAAUGAAAAAGUUUGAAAGCGACAGAAAGAGAUUUUUAUGAAAUUAUUUUAUAGUAUUUCUAAAAGAUCAUGGCAUAUCAUCCAUCUGCAUUAUGUAUAAGUAUGUAUGUACUUUCGUAUAAGAAAAACUGGUUUACUUACUGAGUUUUAUACUCAUUAUAGUUUAUUGUGAUUGAGUUUUCAGAAGUCAGGAUUGAUUCGUGAUGAGUGACAAGUUGAAGAUGGUAGAUGGUUUGGCUAAAUUUUUAAGUUAUUCCGUUGGCUUUUGUAUUUGAGGCUCGAAUUUUUAUUGUUUGUAGAG